UUCCAAUAAACUUGAGCAAACUUCUCCCUCGAUUUGAUACAGGUUCUACAUUAUUUCAACCACUAUAUGAAACCGUCAAUUUCUAACAUUUCCCACCAGGCCCACAAUGAGGACAUCAAAGGACCACUUUCCUGGAUAGCAGAGUUGUGGGAAGGGGCCUUGGCCCAGUAUGGCAAAACCUGCAGGAUGACUACGAUGAUGGAUGACCCGGUGGAUGGACCUCGUGGAGGAAGAUGAGGAUAUCCACACUUAGUAUAAAUUCAUAUAUCUCAGCCUUUGACCAGGCUGUCUGGGCAACCGACAUUCUAUGAUUUUCUGUCUCGUGGAGCUAUUUGUGCAACCUUGCAUUUUUUAGACUACAUCAUAGUGGCUACUAUGCCUUGUAUGUACAUUCUGCAAAUGUUAAUUCCGUCAUCUGUACUGUUGGAGGAGGAUAUAACUUAAACUUGAAAUGCAUAAUCAGAACAAUCUGAUUAUAUCAGACACUACUUUGCUAGUCUCUGUACUCAUUCUCUGUCAGUAUUGUGACGGUUGUUCCCGUGGUGCCACGUAAUUAAACUUGAAAUAAUCAACUGUUA